GGGGAGAGGGGCGGGGCGAUGGGGAGUGACGUCACUGGGGAGGGCGUUGGGUGUGACGUCAUGGGGUGGUGAUGUCAUUGGAUGAUGUCAUUGGGCAGGGAUGUAAUUGGAUGAUGCCAUUGGGCUGUGAUGUCAUUGGGUGAUGUCAUUGGGUGAUGUACUGGGUGACACUGUGGGACGGUGACGUCAUUGGGCUGUGAUGUCAUUGGGCUGUGAUGUCAUUGGGCUGUGAUGUCAUUGGACUGUGAUGUCAUUGGACUGUGAUGUCAUUGGGUGACGUCAUGAGGCGGCGAUGUGCUGGGUGACGUUGUGGGACGGUGACGUCAUUGGAGAGUGAUGUCAUUGGGCCGUGACGUCAUUGGGCGAUUGUGUCAUUGGAUGAUGUCAUUGGGCUGUGAUGUCAUUGGAUGAUAUCAUUGGGUGGUGAUGUCAUUGGGCGGUGAUGUCAUUGGAUGAUGUCAUUGGGUGGUGAUGUCAUUGGAUGAUGUCAUUGGAUGAUGUCAUUGGGCAAUGAUGCCAUUGGACGAUGUCAUUGAGUGAUGUCAUUGGGCAGUGAUGUCAUUGGAUGAUGUCAUUGGGCGGUGAUGUCAUUGGAGUGACGUCAUGGGGUGAUGACCCGGACACGGGGACAGUGACACCCGGACACGGGGACAGUGACACCCGGACACGGGGACAGUGACACGGGGAACAGUGACACUCGGACACGGGGACAGUGACACAGGGACAGUGACACCCGGACACGGGGACAGUGACACGGGGACAGUGACACCCGGACACGGGGACAGUGACACCGGGACAGUGACACGGCUGUCACCUGGGCCUGGCACGAUGACCCUGAUGUCACUCAGGUGUGUUCCAGGUGUCCCUCGGGUGUCACCUGGAUGUCCCUGGUGUCACUCAGGUGUGUCCCAAGUGUCCCAAGUGUCCCCCAGGUGUCCCCCGGGUGUCUCAGGUGUCCCCCAGGUGUCCCUCAGGUGUCCCAGGUGUCCCCCAGGUGUCCCCCAGGUGUCCCCUGGGUGUCUCAGGUGUCACCUGGAUGUCCCUGGUGUCCCCCAGGUGUCACCCAGGUGUCUCAGGUGUUCCCCAGGUGUCUCAGGUGUCCCCCAAGUGUCCCUCAGAUGUCCCAGGUGUCCCAGGUGUCACUCAGGUGUCCCAGGUGUCCCUCAGGUGUCACCCAGGUGUCACCUGGAUGUCCCUGGUGUCCCUCAGUUGUCCCCCAGGUGUCACUCAGGUGUCACCUGGAUGUCCCUGGUGUCCCUCAGUUGUCCCCCAGGUGUCACUCAGGUGUCACCUGGAUGUCCCUGGUGUCCCAGGUGUGUCUCAGGUGUCACCCAGGUGUCCCUCAGGUGUCACCUGGAUGUCCCUGGUGUCCCCCAGGUGUCCCAGGUGUCCCCCAGGUGUCCCUCAGGUGUCUCAGGUGUCCCUCAGGUGUCCCUCAGGUGUCCCCCAGGUGUCCCCCAGGUGUCUCAGGUGUCCCUCAGGUGUCCCUGGUGUCCCUCAGGUGUCACCCCCCAAUAAAGUCCCCAGUGCUGGUGACACCGCGGUGGCUUCAUCUGGGGGAGGGGACCCCAAAAAUGGGGAGAGGGGACAUUGGGGACCCCAAAAAUGGGGAUGGGACCCCCAAAAUUGGGAUUGGGACAAUUUGGGGACCCCAAAAAUGGGGAUGGGACCCCCAAAAUUGGGAUUGGGACGAUUUGGGGACCCCAAAAAUUGGGAUGGGGACAUUGAGGACCCCCAAAAAUGGGGAGGGGACCCCAAAAAUUGAGAUUGGGACAUUUUGGGGACCCCAAAAAUGGGGAGAGGACCCCAAAAAAUGGGAUGGGGACAUUGAGGACCCCCAAAAAUGGGAAGGGGACCCCAAAAAUUGGGAUUGGGACAAUUUGGGGACCCCAAAAAUGGGGAGAGGGGACAUUGGGGACCCCAAAAAUGGGGAUGGGACCCCCAAAAUUGGGAUUGGGACAAUUUGGGGACCCCAAAAAUUGGGAUGGGGAAAUUCUGGGGACCCCAAAAAUGGGGAUGGGACCCCAAAAAUGGGAUGGGGACAAUUUGGGGACCCCAAAAAUUGGGAGACCCCAAAAAUGGGAUUGGGACCCCAAAAUUGGGACUGGGACAAUUUGGGGACCCCAAAAAUGGGGAGAGGGGACAUUGGGGACCCCAAAAAUGGGAUUGGGACAUUCUGGGGACCCCAAAAAUUGGGAUUGGGACAUUGAGGACUCCCAAAAAUUUGGGAUGGGACCCCAAAAAUGGGAUGGGGACCCCAAAAAUUGGGAUUGGGACAAUUUGGGGACCCCAAAAAUGGGGAGGGGACCCCAAAAAAUGGGGAGAGGACCCCAAAAAUUGGGAUUGGGACAUUCUGGGGACCCCAAAAAUUGGGAUUGGGACAUUGAGAACCCCCAAAAAUUUGGGAUGGGACCCCAAAAAUGGGAUGGGGACAAUUUGGGGACCCCAAAAAUGGGGAGAGGGGACAUUGGGGACCCCAAAAAUGGGGAUGGGACCCCAAAAAUUGGGAUUGGGACAAUUUGGGGUCCCCAAAAAUUGGGAUGGGGACAUUGAGGACCCCCAAAAAUGGGGAGAGGACCCCAAAAUUGGGACUGGGACAUUUUGGGGACCCCAAAAAUUUGGAUUGGGACAAUUUGGGGACCCCAAAAAUGGGGAUGGGACCCCCAAAAUGGGAUGGGGACAAUUUGGGGACCCCAAAAAUUUGGGAUGGGACCCCAAAAUUGGGGACAAAGCCUCUCAGACACCCCGAAAUCUCCGCUCCCAAAAUUUUAUUUCCUGAACCUUUCCAGGGCUCCCCUUUUUUGGGGGGAUCCCCCCAAAUUCCGGCCGGGAAUCCCCUCCUUCCCUUUCCCGGGAUUUUUGGGCUUUCCCCGCCUUUUUCCCACUUUUUUUUGGGAUUUUUCCGGGGUUUUUUUCCCAAUUUUUGGGGAUUUUUCUCCCAAUUUUUCUCCAAUUUUUUGGGAUUUUUCCGGGGUUUUUUUCCCAAUUUUUGGGAAUUUUUCCAGGGUUUUUUCCCCAAUUUUUUGGGAUUUUUCUCCCAUUUUUUCCCCAAUUUUUUGGGAUUUUUCUCCCAAUUUUCCCCCAAUUUUUUGGGACUUUUCUCCCAAUUUUUCUCCAAUUUUUUUUGAUUUUUCUCCCAUUUUUUCCCCAAUUUUGGGGGAUUUUUCUCCCAUUUUUUCCCCAAUUUUUGGGGAUUUUUCUCCCAUUUUUUCCCCAAUUUUUUGGGAUUUUUCUCCCAAUUUUUCCCCAAUUUUUUGGGAUUUUUCUCCCAACUUUUCCCCAAUUUUUUGGGAUUUUUCUCCCAUUUUUUCCAUGAUUUUUUGGGAUUUUUCUCCCAACUUUUCUCCAAUUUUUGGGAAUUUUUCUCCCAUUUUUUCCAUGAUUUUUGGGGAUUUUUCUCCCAUUUUUUCCCCAAUUUUUUGGGAUUUUUCUCCCAUUUUUUCCCCGUUUUUCUGGGAUUUUCCCAUCAUUUUUCCCCCAUUUUUUUGAAGGAUUUCUCCCGUUUUUCCCGCGGAUUUUGGGGAUUUUCCCGCCAUUUUUCCCGCGGAUUUUGGGGGUUUUCCCGCCAUUUUUCCCGCGGAUUUUGGGGGUUUUCCCGCCGUUUUUUUCCCGGUUUUUUGGAGGAUUUUUCCCGUUUUUUCCCCGUUUUUCCUCUCCUUUUUCCUCCUUUUCCUGGGGGGUUCCCCCUCCUCGUUUUUCUCCUUCUGCUCCAAACUCUGCCGGAUCCGGGCCUGGGGGAGGAGGGGGGAAAAAUUCGGGAAUUCCCAAAAUUUGGGAAUUCCCAAAAUCCUGGGAACCCCCCCCCAAAAAAAAAGUUUGGGAAUUUCCUCAAAAAUUCCAGGAAUUCCCUGGGAAACUCUUCCCAAAUUUUUGGGGUUUUUGUUUUGGGGAUGGAGGGUGAGGACACCCAGGAAUUCCUGAAGAAUUCCCAAAAAAAAUUCCCAAAAAUUCCCCCCAAAAUUUCCCAAAAAAUCCCCCCAAAAAUCAAAAAAAAUCCCCCAAAAAUCCCUAAAAAAUUCCCAAAAAAUCCCAAAAAACUCCCAAAAAAUCCCCCAAAAAAUCCCCAAAAACCCCAAAAAAUCCCCAAAAAUUCCCAAAAAAUUCCCCCCCCCAAAAAUAUAAAAAAACCCAAAAAAAAUCCCAGAAGAAAACCAAAAAAUUCCCAAAAAAUCCCCCAAAAAUCCCAAAAAAAUUCCCAAAAAAUCCCCCCAAAAUUCCCAAAAAAUCCCCAAAAAAUUCCCAAAAAAUAAAAAAAAAUUUCCCCAAAAAUCCCCUCA
rnacentral:lncRNA from 1 species